AAGUUUUCGUACAACAUUUUGGAAGUAAACUUUACAAACAACUGACAUUGGCAAUUUUGUUAUAUGUCUUAUUUCAAACGUUUUGAUUGGUCUAACUGUAUGUCAUUUUGUAAAACCAAAGAUUUCCUCCCGCCCAGACCAUUGGUGUCAAAAAGUGUUUUUAGCCAGAAAAGUCAUAUACGACAUUUUGGAAGCCCAGCGUAUUCAUUGUUUUGACAAAAAGACAUUUUAUUAAGCCAAACAGGUAGCAAAAUGUAUGAAAAUCUUGCUGGUUCAGGUAUUAACAAGUCUGUGUGAAGACAGUUUAUCGCUGAUCUUUAUGACACAAACGCAAAAUUAAAUCGAACAUGGUGAUACCAAUGCUAUAUUAGUGAAAUCGGGGUUCACUUCCCUUAAUCUCAGGCAUUAUUAGGUCCACAAAUUCUACAAUUAUGUCUGCUAGAUAUAUGUUAAAAUUGUCAGAUCAUCAUACAGCUAUAGACGAAGGAUG
rnacentral:lncRNA from 1 species